rnacentral:rRNA from 1 species
UUAGGAAUAUUGGACAAUGGGCGCAAGCCUGAUCCAGCCAUGCCGCGUGAGUGAUGAAGGCCUUCGGGUUGUAAAGCUCUUUAGUCCACGAAUAUAAUGACUGUAGUGGAAGAAUAAGCCCCGGCUAACUUCGUGCCAGCAGCCGCGGUAAUACGAGGGGGGCGAGCGUUGUUCGGAAUCACUGGGCGUAAAGAGUGCGUAGGCGGUUAUGAAAGUUAGAAGUGAAAGCCCUGGGCUCAACCUAGGAAUUGCUUUUAAUACUCCAUGACUCGAAUUCGGGAGAGGAUAGCGGAAUUCUCAGUGUAGCAGUGAAAUGCGUAGAUAUUGAGAGGAACACCGGUGGCGUAAGCGGCUAUCUGGACCGACAUUGACGCUGAGGCACGAAAGCGUGGGGAUCAAACAG